CAGAAAUUAAAGCAUUGUUUCUAGACACUUUCUUUUUUUCCUCCAAGUCCCUCCCAAAAAUUUCUCGCUCAUCAAACUCACUUCCAAUCCGAGUUUACUCGUUCAUUUCUGUCUUUGAAAACUGAUUUUAUUCCUGGUACUGCUUCCCCAACCUGUUUGCAUAAUUAUCUUGGUCUUUUAGUUUGACUAAUAUUCUUGUUUCUUCAGUUUCUUGAAUUUGAAUUAAAUGGGUUUUUUUCAGUUUGAUCGGCUGGUGGUGGCUACAUAAUUGAACUGUGCUAGACUUUUUUCUUGAUCAAAGAUUUGACGAUCUUUUAUUCUGGGGUUUGAAUUGAUUAGGAAUUUGGGAGGAAAGAAUAUGUAGAGAAAUUUUGAGGUUUUUAAAGAAAUGUGGGUAAAAUUAACAGACAUUUAACGGAGAAAUUUAGGGGAAUACAACUUAGAAAUUAUUAGAUUUACGAUCGCAACCAGGCUUAUUGCUGAAUUUGCCAAUGCAGAUUCUAAAUUUUGCAACCUAUUUUUAGGCAAACCGAAGCAAGAAAUGUGUAUAUUUUGUCUUUUUGGGUGGUUGCAUUAACUGAGUGGGUCGGAGUGGGGUGGGGGGUGGGGGUGGGGAUGGGGAGGUUUAACGUACCAUGGCAUAUGUGAAGCACUAUGUAAAAUCAGUUUAAUUAGGCAUUGGUACAGAUUCUUGUCUUAGGAUUACAUGUUUUGAGGAUAUCUUUCCAUUUCUAACCAAAAGCAGUGGUUUCAUAUUUCUAUACUUUAGAAAAGAAAUGAAAGUUCUUCAAAUCUCUUUUAUCUUUUAACUUUUAUUUUCAAGAUGAUUGUUUUGUAAUGAGUUAAAUGGUGAAUUUGUAAUAGAUGUGAGUUUUAUCCAAUUGAGAGCCAGGAUAAGUGUUUUUGGCUGGUAGGAUAGUUGUAAUUCUUUGUCUGAAUUAUGUCCUGAAAUUUCACGUCGGUUGAAAUUUUGAUCCACAUUUUGUAGUGAUAAAUUAAGGAAAGUUGAUGUCAUACUUAUUAUAGUGCAUGUAGACAAUCUGAGUGCUUACUCUCAUUUAUGUUUAUUCAUCCACAUCUGCUUUCUUUAUUGAUAUGCAUAAAUCUGGUUCUGCUGCAUCAUGAUAUUAUCUCCACCUGAAAUUAAUUAUCUCAGUUGUAAAAUUCGCUGUUGUUUAAGAAAUGACUGAGAUGUAACUUGCUCUGUAUGGGUAAAUCAAUGUUUUAGAGUAUGUUCGGCUAUGUCUAACAAAAAUUUAAAGUAUUUUUCCUGAAAGUAUAUAAAUUGUAUAACUAAAAAUUUUAUAUUCUUAGUUAUCUCGGACUUAUUUUGCAAAAAAGGAAAUUGCUUGAAAAGAAACUUAAGCUUUGCCAACAUGCUCUUAAUCAGCACCUAAUGCUCUAUAUUGCUCAACUGGUCUAUCUGGUGGUGUUUGCUCACUUUUAUAUCAUCCUUUUUUACUUCUUGGAACUGUCUUUUCUUGGACUCUUAUAAUUGUGCCAUUAUUAUCUUUAGAGAAAAUGAAACAAGAGAUUUCUGAAAUUCAAGCUGCUUUGGAUUAUGCUGAUGUUUUUGUAAUGCAAAAGCUUCCUACCUUGAUCUUGUUAUGAGUUUCCUCUCAGUACUAACCUAAAAUGAGUUGUAUUUUCCCAGAUUAGAAAAUGGACCUUGAGGCAAGAAGCUUGCAGCAAAGCUUGAAGGCUACACUACUUGCUAAGCUCAGGGAAUAUAAAUCUGAUCUGAAUAAGAUGAAAAGGGAAUUGAAAAAAAUAACUUUGCCUAAGUCAAACGUUCUGGCCAUGAAGAGUUGUUAGAAUCUGGAAUGGCUGGUGCAAAUUCGGUAUGCGUGCAUUCAAUUUCCCUGUUGAUUUUUUUUGUCCUUAAUAUAUAAGGUAUGUAUAUAUUGCAUGGAGAACUGCAAUUAGCUUUGACGAUGUAGCAUCAUCUAGCCUCACUGGAGAUAAUUCAUCUGUGUCUGGUUGCAUGAUGAGUGGAUGCUUAUAUUUUACUAUUAAUAGAGCCGUGUAAAAAUUCUCCUUGUGCAUUAUUUUAUUUAAAAGAAAAUUUAAUAUUGGGAUUCAGCAUCUUUUAUGGUUUUUGGUUUU
rnacentral:lncRNA from 1 species